rnacentral:misc_RNA from 1 species
CUUUUUGAUAAGAAAGCACCCCGGGAACAUCGUUACAAGUGAUAAGCUAACGACAAAUAUGAGUGCACUACUUUAAGUGCCGAUUCAUGAAACUUAUUUGUGCAAGAACUGAGUUUUAACAUCAGGUAAUAUCUGAAAUCUGUAGUGAUUGGUAAGAUGAAAAUGCUUAAAAUGUGCAGAACUGUUUGCGUAAUGCGAAUGAUUUAUGUUGUGUAUCUGUAAAACUAUGAAAUAUUUUAAUUACAAUAAUCAUACUCUCAUUAAUAAAAAUAUUGUUGGUUUGUUAACACAAUGUAAUCAGAACAAGUUUUAGUCGACUAUAUAUAGAAUAUACACUUUUAGAUUAUAGAACAGUAUUAUGAUAUCACAAUCCUGUUUGGACUAUUAAAACAUUUGAAUUAAUCAAUUAUCAGUGAAAGUACAUGUAAACAUAAUAUAUUGUGUAAUUAGGCCUACAUUAUUCUUUCAACCACACUUUCACUUCAUUAAACAAUAGAAUGUUUUUUCAUUACUGUGUAUAAUGAUGGCGUGAAGAAAGCAAGCAAUGAAAAGAGUAUUAAGACCUAUAAAAAAACUAGUUGUGUAUAUGCACGUGAUUUUACUUUUCUUUGUGUCGUUAUUAAAGCAUUCAUGUAUACAUUGAAUAAAAGUUAGAA